ACUUGAUCCUCUACAAUAACUUUAUCAUCAACCAUAGUCUUACAACAAAAUAAGCAGUGCACAUAUUGUGUCUUGGUUCUACUUAAUAUGAAACCAUUGGAUUCCACAGUACAUUUCAAAUGCUCUUAACUUCAGACUUCACCUUCUCCUCUCCCCAACUAAAACUACAUCAUCAAUGAAUUACAGACACCAAGGGACCUCAUCUUGGAUAGGUCUGUAGCUUGUCCAUGACUAGUCCAAAAAGGCUAGGUCUUGAGGCAGAAUCUUGAUGCAAGCUUAUAGUGACUAGGAAUUUCCAUUUACAUCUCAAGCAAUUUGGAAUUACCAUUAUGUCUCAAAGUCUCAUUUGCCCCAUCAUACACAUCUUUAAU
rnacentral:lncRNA from 1 species